AGUAAAUAGAUACCCGGGUAGCCCACGCCGUAAACGAUGAGUACUAGGUGUAGGAGGUAUCGACUCCUUCUGUGCCGCAGUUAAACACAAUAAGUACUCCGCCUGGGAAGUACGGUCGCAAGAUUAAAACCUCAAAGGAAUUGACGGGGGUCCCGGCACAAGCAGCGGAGCAUGUGGUUUAAAAUUCGAAGCAACGCGAAGAACCUUACCUAGACUUGACAUCUCCUGAAUAGUGUAGAGAUACAUGAAGCCCUUCGGGGUCAGGAAGACAGGUGGUGCAUGGUUGUCGUCAGCUCGUGUCGUGAGAUGUUGGG
rnacentral:rRNA from 1 species